rnacentral:lncRNA from 1 species
AUCACAUAUAGUUAAAAGAUAGAUAUUAAUUUGAAAUAUGAUUAUAUUUAAUAUUAGUAUGUGUAGAAAAAUAAAAUAAAAAGUUGUUAAGAAAUAUGAGAUUUUUCGUUGAUUUAUAUCGUAGUUUUGUUUAUAUAUUAAUGUAAUAGAUCUCUUAUAAUAUUUUAUAAGGUUGAAGGAAUGCAUCAUAUUUUAUUUUAAUAGUGUAAUCGUUUAAGAUCUUAGUUUUCUUUAUAUGAGUUGCAACUGUAUAGUCACGUGUUGGAAGCAUGCAUACAUAUACAUACUUUUUUUUAUCACAUGAUCUCAUUUUUUGUAAAUUACG